rnacentral:tRNA from 1 species
ACUGAAAUAACUCAGCUGGUAGAGCGUCAGACUACAAAUCGGGAAGUCCUUGGUUCGAUCCCAAGUUCCGGCA